UGUCUGCAUUUAGAACUUUGAUUCUCUGUGUGGAGAUGAACAGGUCCACCUCAGUCAAGGCCUGGGAAUCUCCUUCUGAAGUCUACAAGACAGAUAAUUUGUUACAGUGGGAACUUUAAUUUCCUCUUCAGAAUGACAAAUUCACAGAUCACUUCAAGCAUAAUGUGAUGUGAGCCAAUUGCAUUGUUAAACCACUACAAAGACAGCUAUUCAAAGGUGUUUCUACAUACAUGCAAAGGACGCAUUGACUGCAUAGGAAGAGUGAAGCAUACUCUUGUGGUUAAGAAUGAAUAUUCAGAGCCCCUGGAAUUGACUGCUCAGGUACUAUAAUUCUCUAUGAAUAGCCAGAACAGGAGAAUCAAUGUGGCUGUUUCUUCCCCACUGUCUUAUUGAUGCACGUCAGUUCUUGAGGCACUGGAACUGAGAAAGUGACUUCCAUCAGCUGCUUAACCCUUGCUGUCUUCAGUUAGCUCACAAACAAAAGUUCAAGAUGAUGCUCAAUACUGUGGUUUGGAUGUGUUCUUUUUAGAUUUUUUCUCGUAGAAAACACAGAACUGAGAGCUGACCUAACAUCUCUUACUGCACAGAGAGCCUUUAGGUAGGUGUACUGGAGACCUCAAAUUCUAAGCGUGUUUUUUUAGGGAAAUGAUAUACCAUAAGAAAACAGGGUCACAGAGCAAGUGGGGCUGCAGAAUAAUGACAAGUGUUUUUUCUUAAGUGUGAGGCCUGGCUUUGUGCCAGGGAGACAACAGAAGAGAAGGUGGCAAAGAAGCUUCUGCCUCUCAUCACUGCAUCAUGCAAGAGCUUACCUAACACUCUGAGUCCCAGCAGGAACCCAUUUAUUCCCCCAGGCUGUUUGUUUAUCCACAGUGCACCCUUGCAAUCAAUAUUUACCAGCACCCAUCUUAGCAGCCUCAGAAUAAAAAGGCCACAGACCAUAUUACCUUUCACUAAAUGUAGGCAUCAGUCUCCAGAUUACAACUGUGUUUCUUUGAUGACAUGGUGCAAGGAAGAGUGAUGUAUUUGCUAUCCUUUUCUAUAGCUAAAAAGGCUUAGCUCUGCCUAUAAUUCAUUCAUAUUAAUUCAAAUUAAAUUAACUUCAGCAAAAUACAAAGCAGCACAAAUCCACUUUGGCAGAGAUUACUUGUGGUGCUUUUUAUCCAUGAUUGUUACAAGGAGAUUAAUUUCAGUGAUAUUUUUGUUAAAUAUAGUUAGUUAACUAAUGUAUAUUUUUGACUAGGUGAAAUGUCUCUUGAAUUGCUCCAGCUACUACUUGGUUAAUGUACUUCAUUUGUUUUUUAAGUAUUGACAAUAUUUUAGCAAAUAUACGUAAGUCAUAGGCAUAGAAAACAGACCUAAUUGCUUUGGCUGGCAAAAUACAAAUAAGGAUUACAUUUAAAAAGUCUCCUGGAAAACAAUGACCGUAUAUCUGGACUAAACAAAUCAGAAAUAUUAAACAGAAGAGCAGCAGCAGACAGGCACUCUAGCAAGUGAACGAUGAAGAAAAUGAGUUAAUUUUAUUCCAUCCAGUAUUCUAUUACUUAACAAAGAAUAAAUCAAAAUGACAACUUUAUGAGCACCCGUAAUGAAAGACACAAUGCUCUGUGAGGAACAAAUACAACAGAAAUGUAAGUAAACAUUAGAAUUCAAGAAAAACAGUUUACACACCGCUUUUUUCUUGAUUUUAGCCGCCUUUUGCAUCCUCUGAAGAGUAGCAUAAAAAAAGAAUGCAGACAGAUGUACACACAAAAAAAGAGAAAAGACAGUGUGUGAAGUCAGGGAAACCUUUUGACUAUGAAUCCAGACUGCUGAAAAUUAAAAAUCUGGGGCCAGUGGGAGAAGGAUGUGCGAGAGGGAAAGGACUGUCUAUAUCUUAUGCUGUUCUGGAGCAUAAUUGGAUUUAAUGGCAUUAUGCAUGUUGUUGAUUGAUUACAAAAAAAAAUAUCAGAGUGUUGUCUGUUAACAGCUGCUCAUAACAUUUAUCCUGCUAAAUAUACAGCAUUCUAAACUGACAGUACAUGCACUAUUUUAAAUUCAAAUUUUUCUAUUAAUAUUAUAGUAAUAUUAGUCAUAUGUCCAAAAUGUAAUUGUCAUACAAAACAUAACUUAAGUUCCUUCAGUGACUAUCCAAAGUAGUCAAGUGUACCUGGCAGGUUGGGAUUGUUAUUGCUGCAGACUUCACAAAAGGGUAAAUAGAAAUUCAAAGGUUUGAAAAUUCGAAAUAAUUCAGUGUACUAAGAGUCAUUUUCACAAUCUUUAAUAAAGGAAUUAAUAACACAGUUAGAAAACAUCCAUUGGUCACUGGAAUAUUUCUUAAUUACAGUCUGCCAUUUGUCUUUAAUAUAUAAAUCCUUCAUACAGCUUUCAAACAAUUUGGAAUAGACCGUGGAGUAAUUUAUAUUUUGUUCCUAGGAGAAGCUGUAUGUUUCUUCAUGACAAGCACUGGAAAAUUAUGCUCUGCCAACUUGACAAGCAGCUACCACGUUUUCUUGAUGUACAUCAAUCUCAUGUGUGAGGAAAAAGCAACACUGAAUGGAAAUGGCAAUUAAAAAAAAAAUUCUUGUACUGUGGACUUGUGAUUCCUUUAUAAGCAAAUGGUUGUGGAAAAUGAAUAUACUGAGGAGAAAAAACAGAAAGCAUGUUAUACCACUCAACUGUGGUUUGCAGAUAUAUCUUCUGGUGAGUAAUCCUACCCCUCAUUUUCCUGUUGUAAUUUAGAAAAAGUGUUCCAAUAGUAAAUAAUCUUGAUUGCAAGAAGUCACUUUCUUCCGCAGCCAGUAUUGCAGCCUCCUAUACUUCCAUGCAAGCUUCACAUUCUUUUGCUGGAAAUAUCAACCAUUGCAAAACAUACCAGUCCUCGUAAUUCAGUAUUAAAUAUAUAUAUACGUACACAUAUAAAUAAGAGCCUUUUUAUUUAUACCAAAAAUACUCAAAAUAGAGCUAUUUGUUUUCCUAGAAAACACUUCAGUUUCAAGCCUCAAAAAUACAGAUAUAUAUCACAGUUAGACAUAUUCUGCAUUAGGUCAAAUCCAUAUAAAUCCAGUAAUGAUUUGGGUCUUCAUUAAAAUCAGAUGAUUUACAUUAAAAAUGUGAAAAACCUCAACAAAAUCCUUCUGAACCUAAUAAUUUAAAAUGUCAUGUUAGCAGUAAGAGCAAGUCUUUCAGUAUCUCAAAAAGCGAUCCUUGUUCCUGUAGUGAUAAUUCAUUGAAUGACAUAAUUU